rnacentral:sRNA from 1 species
GCUGGGUGCCAUGGCCCACACCUGUAAUCCCAGCAGCUCAGGAGGCUGAGACAGGAGGAUCACGAGGUCAAAGCCAGCCUGAGCAACUCAGCAAAGCCCUAAGCAACUCAGUGAGACCCUGUCUCUA